rnacentral:rRNA from 1 species
GGGUGCUAAUACAUGCAAGUCGAGCGAACAGAUAAGGAGCUUGCUCCUUUGACGUUAGCGGCGGACGGGUGAGUAACACGUGGAUAACCUACCUAUAAGACUGGGAUAACUUCGGGAAACCGGAGCUAAUACCGGAUAACAUAUUGAACCGCAUGGUUCAAUAGUGAAAGGCGGCUUUGCUGUCACUUAUAGAUGGAUCCGCGCCGUAUUAGCUAGUUGGUAAGGUAACGGCUUGCCAAGGCAACGAUACGUAGCCGACCUGAGAGGGUGAUCGGCCACACUGGAACUGAGACACGGUCCAGACUCCUACGGGAGGCAGCAGUAGGGAAUCUUCCGCAAUGGGCGAAAGCCUGACGGAGCAACGCCGCGUGAGUGAUGAAGGUCUUCGGAUCGUAAAACUCUGUUAUCAGGGAAGAACAAAUGUGUAAGUAACUGUGCACAUCUUGACGGUACCUGAUCAGAAAGCCACGGCUAACUACGUGCCAGCAGCCGCGGUAAUACGUAGGUGGCAAGCGUUAUCCGGAAUUAUUGGGCGUAAAGCGCGCGUAGGUGGUUUUUUAAGUCUGAUGUGAAAGCCCACGGCUCAACCGUGGAGGGUCAUUGGAAACUGGAAAACUUGAGUGCAGAAGAGGAAAGUGGAAUUCCAUGUGUAGCGGUGAAAUGCGCAGAGAUAUGGAGGAACACCAGUGGCGAAGGCGACUUUCUGGUCUGUAACUGACGCUGAUGUGCGAAAGCGUGGGGAUCAAACAGGAUUAGAUACCCUGGUAGUCCACGCCGUAAACGAUGAGUGCUAAGUGUUAGGGG